AAGGACAAUUGAUUAAUGUGGAUCAGGUUAGGGACUUUGUGUUCUUCCUGAGUGUGUGGCAGUUGCUGACAGUGCUGAGCUAGCAUUCUGUGCCCUGCUGGUUCCUUUGGUUGUUCCUCCUGCCGGUGGACUUAGAUGCUCCCAAAGGCCAUGGAAUCCAGGCUGGAGUGCCACUGCCACGGCACUGGAUCUUGAAUCCCUGACACUCUGAACUGUAAUGCACAAAGCAGAGUCUGAACAGUGUUCAUUUGGUGAAGAAUUAGAAUGAGUGUGACACGGUAUUUUCCUCCCCUGAUGACUAUAGCAAUGGAGACCACACUGGCCAAAGAACCAUGGGGUUAUAGUGGCUGUGCUGACUCAGGUAGAUGUGAAACCCAACUCAUCCACCAAAACUGGCUCAAUGAAUACAUCCUGGACUGGGCACUUGGAGGCCAGAUGACUGCAAGCUUUCCUCCAACUGCAUCCAUGAACUCAGGAAGCAGGAGCUGUGUAACAUGUAUGUUCUAAGAAAGAUGCUCUCAUCCACAUCUCUGAAGCUCAGCAAUAAAGUGCAUCAAUGGCCUGGGGAUGUGGCUAUUCAUUUUCUGCUGUGUCCACCUUGGGCAGCUCCUUUUAUUUUGGUGCUGAGGCCUGUGGAUGCGUUCCACCCCUGGGUCUCCUCACCAUGGUCCAGCAGCCCCUUUUCUCUUCUGCAUGUUGGUUGACACGCAAAAGGUUUAGUUUAAGUGCAGAUUCCAGCCACUCCUAUUAGAGUUCACUGUUGCUUGGGGCUGAGGUUUCAGCUGGGGGCCUACAUCUCUGUAAUCCCCAUCUAGAGAGAUGCUGGAGAGGCUGAGAUGGGGAGUGAGCAGCAGAACAAGGUUCUGCCCCAGCCACUACCAGCAGAGUGUCACCCAUUCAUUGUCACUCUUCCCUG
rnacentral:lncRNA from 1 species